AGGCUGUGGCCGGAAGAAGAGGCUGGGCGUCGCCAUGACAGAGAGAGACUGGAAGACCUAACGGUGCCUGCCUCCGCUGCCACGCCAGACUGAGACCGGAAAAGACAAGGCCGGCAAGGCGGGCUGGGCGCCACCAUGACAACCUGAACCAAAAAAAGCGAUCCCUCCUCCUUGACUACACCAGCACCACCUGUCACCAGGGGCGAAGCCUAGACCCUGCGGAGGCGGGGUCGGGAGCUCCGGAGUUCAGGAGGCGGGGCCCGGAGUAGCCUGAGAAGAAGUAAGGUGUAGGAAGCCUUGGCCAUGGGACCAAUAGCCUCAUCUUAAAUUCCUGAUCUCUGGAGGACAUCAGGGCCUCCUACCUGUUCCAUUGUGACCUGGGAGUCUCUCCAGCUCCAAGGUGGAGGGAUGGCUUCACUGAACACGGAGUCUGGAAUUCCAUGCACACUCAUGUGACCGGUGUUCCGGAAAAAGAAGCAGGAGGCGGCUGGGCGCGGUGGCUCACGCCUGU
rnacentral:lncRNA from 1 species